AACGAACGCUGGCGGCGUGCCUAACACAUGCAAGUCGAACGAGAAAGUCGUAGCAAUACGGCGAGUAAAGUGGCGCACGGGUCAGUAACACGUGGAUCAUCAACCUCCGGGAGGAGCACAACCUGUCGAAAGACGGGCUAAUACUCCGUAAGACCACGGGGCCUUCGGGCCCUGGGGUAAAAGGUGGCCUCUACUUGUAAGCCAUCGCCUGGAGACGAGUCCGCGCACCAUUAGCUAGUUGGUAGGGUAACGGCCUACCAAGGCCGAGAUGGUUAGCUGGUCUUAGAGGACGACCAGCGACACUGGAACUGAGACACGGUCCAGACUCCUACGGGAGGCAG
rnacentral:rRNA from 1 species